rnacentral:rRNA from 1 species
UACGGAGGGUGCAAGCAUUAAUCGGAUUUACUGGGUGUAAAGGGCGCGUAGGCGGGUAGGCAAGUCAGAUGUGAAAUUCCGGGGCUCAACUUCGGAGCGGCAUUGAAACUACUUAUCUUGAGGGUAGACGGAGAAAACGGAAUUCCACAUGUAGCGGUGAAAUGCGUAGAUAUGUGGAAGAACACCGGUGGCGAAGGCGGUUUCUAGUUUAUUCCUGACGCUGAGGCGCGAAAGCAAGGGGAGCAAACAGG